AACGCACAUUGCGCCCGCCAGUAUUCUGGCGGGCAUGCCUGUCCGAGCGUCAUUUCAACCCUCGAACCCCCCCCGGGGGUCCGGCGUUGGGGAUCGGGGACCCCUGAGACGGGAUCCCGGCCCCGAAAUACAGUGGCGGUCCCGCCGCAGCCUCUCCUGCGCAGUAGUUUGCACAACUCGCACCGGGAGCGCGGCGCGCCCACGUCCGUAAAACACCCAACCUUCUGAAAUGUUGACCUCGGAUCAGGUAGGAAUACCCGCUGAACUUAA
rnacentral:misc_RNA from 1 species